GGACGCAUGACCACUACAGGACAGCUCGUCAGGCUCAUAACCUGAAGGUCAUAGGUUCAAAUCCUAUUCCGGCAACCA
rnacentral:tRNA from 1 species